AGAAAGGCAACGACGGAGAAGAGUAGGGGUGGUCCCGGAUAAUCAGCGAGUCCGGUACGGUGCGAGCGGACUUAUCUUCGCCCUGAAAAUCCCUCCAGAGCCGCCGGUCGAAAAUCCCGCUUGUCGGGGUAAUUAGUCCUGGCCGGUCCCGUCAACCGUUAUCCGCGACGGGGGCAUCAUGUGUGCCCUGAGAGUGUCCCGGUUUUUCCGGGGAAGUUGGGUGGUACCGCGGGAAUUUUUAAGUCCCGUCCCUUUU
rnacentral:ncRNA from 1 species